GACGAACGCUGGCGGCGUGCUUAACACAUGCAAGUCGAACGGAAAGGCCCCUUUGGGGGUACUCGAGUGGCGAACGGGUGAGUAACACGUGAGUAACCUGCCCUUGACUUCGGGAUAACUUCAGGAAACUGGGGCUAAUACCGGAUAGGAAUCCUUGCUGCAUGGUGGGGGUUGGAAAGCUUCGGCGGUUUUGGAUGGACUCGCGGCUUAUCAGCUUGUUGGUGGGGUAGUGGCUUACCAAGGCUUUGACGGGUAGCCGGCCUGAGAGGGCGACCGGCCACAUUGGGACUGAGAUACGGCCCAGACUCCGACGGGAGGCAGCAGGGGGAAAGAUUGCACAAUGGGCGGAGGCCUGAUGCAGCAACGCCGCGUGCGGGAUGACGGCCUUCGGGUUGUAAACCGCUUUCAGCAGGGGCGAAGCUUGUGGUGACGGUACCUGCAGAAGAAGCACCGGCUAACUACGUG
rnacentral:rRNA from 1 species